GGGACAGAGUGAUCAGGAAGCUAUUCAUAGAAAUACAUUUUAACAAAGAAUUCUCGACAAGCUAUCCAAACUUCAAAAUUUUGUCCUUUUUCCAUCGGAGACAAGAUUGAAGUGAAAGAAAUCUGUCUGUUAGCCAGACAAAUCUAUGUAUUGAGACCUUUCGAAAAAUAGUGUCUUGUCGUUCGGAAAAUAACUCGGGGAAACAACGUCUCCACCGAGAUCGGCAGGGUUUGAGUAGUAAUUCAAGCCCCUCCAAAGACAGGACGGUUUCAAACAUACGUCGGAUUGUUCCUAUCGUUGUGCCACAGGAAGUAUGUCCUGGUGUUGUUUCAGAAGCCAAGCAAUAGAAAUCGCCAACCAUAGAAAUUCUUCAAGAAAUUGUUCCAAAGCUGUAAACAGAAGAAAAAA